CCUGGGGGGAAAAAAAACAAAAAGGAAGGUGGGAGAGGGAAAAGUUACUUUUCAAGGUCAAAACAGGAAAAAGAGGCUGCCACUCCAAAUGAAAAGGCCUCGUGUAAUUAAAAACGCAUUCAACAAUCUUAUUAAUAAAUAGAGUGGGGGGGAAACUUGUGUGAGACCAAUCCCAGGCAGCACAGAAAUAUGUAAAUAUCUCAGCGUGGCUGGAUCUCGUAUCUCCAGAGAAUGAGGGCUUCUAUAAGUUUGCCCUUUCCAGACAGGCUCUUCAAGUAAGAAAACAAGAUUGAAUAUUUUAAUAGGAUGUACGAGGCCACGGAGCCGUAAGGAGGAUUCAAUCACAGCCUACGUGGGACUGUAAUUUAGUUUUCAUACAUUUUCUUGGACAGCACUUGAAAAACAAUGAAAAUGACCCAGCAACAAGAUUCCAAUUAAUAUCCCACGUGCAGCAAUCUGAUAACAGGAGCAAAUUUCCCUUUAAAAAAAAAAAAAAAAAAAAAAGUGGGGCUGGUGUUAUCUUUAAUUUUAGAACCAGGGUAACCUGAGGUGGGGGAGAGGUAUUUCUGCCUUAUUUUGUAAAUGCAUUUUCUGAAGCAGCAGCCUUUUGUCAGGGGCUGCACACAGAGUGCUGAUUACAUGGGGGGGGUGUGGGAUUUCCCUUCCAAGAACAGUAACAACCCCAGGGUUAUGAGUGAGAACCAAGUGAUCCCAUUGCCUCAAACCAUCCUAAAGGCAUUCUGGAAAACCCAAAGGGGAUUUGCUCCAGAACAGGCUCCCCUCUCCAGGUCUCCAGGCCCUUCUCCUUACACGUUCACUCUUCUUACAUCCUCAGCAAUGUGAGGAAGCUCAAACACAACGUGUGCAUGCGGGGACCCCAAGGAAACCACCAAAGACAGCGAGAGUGCUGUGUUUGCAGGCAAAACCCCCGAGUGCUGUUCCUUUACAGCCUGCCUUGGCCUUUCCCACCGUGGGAGAACCCAAGGAGGAGAAUUCCUCAGGUUUCUGUCCUCAUUUUGGUGGGUUUGACACUGUCCUGUGGGUACAGGAGUUCAGGGAUGGAUGCUGAAUUAGCUCCAAUCCCACAGAUUUUAAACAAACAGCCAUUUUUCAGGCAAGCAGGGCCGGGGAGAUCUCAGGCGAGGAUUUGUCUCUGCUGGCAGAGGAGUGUUUGCCAGCACAGACAGGUUGUGAUGUGGACACUCCAGGUUUUGGGGGGCACAGGGGACUCCCCUGCACCCCACAGCCUCAUCCUCCCAGGCACAGCAACCUCUGAGGAAGCAGAAAUCCAAGUGGAGCUGUUUGGAUAACACAUCAUGGACAGACACCCAGCAGAGUGACAGGAGGAGGAGGGAAAUCAGGCUCCCUUUCUUUUACAGCCUCUCCCUCAGCAGGAUUUAACCAUGCAGAGAGUAAAACUCAUCAAUCCUCCAGGUUUAACCUUGUCUCUGUUUCAAUUCACCAGGAUAUGAAACAUCAGACUUGAGCCACUGAGUUGUAACAACCCCACUGCAAGUGUGUCACCUGCAGCUGGAGGAAAGGUGACUUUAGCACAAAGAGGGUCUGGAGGCAGCAUGUGCUGAGGAAUAACCUGUGCAGGUAAUUAAGAGUACUCAACACCUCAGGUGGGGAGUGUGGAAGAAGCAGGUCGAUACAGGGGUCUUCCCUGAAUUAAAAUUUAACUUACCCUUUAUUGCAACCUACAAAAGCAAGUAAUGAGCACUAACAUUUUUAUUUCUUUUAAACUGUCAUUUAGGCUGUAGAGGGGAUAAUUACCUAUUUCCACUGUAGUAAGGUUUUAUCACCCUUAGUGAGGCAUUUUCUAAUUUAAUAUUUUUACUGUAUUAUCAUAAAACCUGUUUCUGGAAAAAAAUGAUCACGGACCACGGAGCCAUUUGCCAUAAAACAUGUGUGUAAGUACCUUGGCUUAAUUUAUGCAUUUCUUCUGAGCUGGCUCCAGAGCCAGGGGACAGCACAGGCACCGUGUCACCUCCCCACCAUGAAAACUGGGCUUUUCAGGUCAACAAUAUUGUUUUAAAACAUGAAAUAAAAGCAGCAGCUACUCCAGGUGGUGAGCCUGGUGUGCUAAAUGCCCAGUGGGCUUUUCUCCCACUCCAAACCCCAGGUAUUGCUGCUACACACAUUUUACAGGCAAAAUCCUUGCAACAGAGACCAAGGAAACACACACACACACACAGAGUGAAUAUUAAUUGCAACAGCACAUUUCAUAAAUCUGUAUGAACCUUCAACAUAUACAUCGCAAAAAUUCUAAACAGAUCCCCAGGAAGGUGCUUUGUCCACCAAAUGUACAAAGGGAAACCAAGUGUGUACCUGCAUGUGGGAAAAGCCAGUAUUGUACCACUCUGUGUAAUUAUAGUCAUUUUUCUAAAUACAGUUCUGUGAACUAAUAGAAGAACAAUAUUAUGGGGGAAAAUUCAGUUUCUGGUGGCCUUUUUUUUUUUUUUUUAAUUCAAGUGGCAAUAGUGCUCUUCUAGUAAAAAUACCCUCCAACCAAUGUCUCUGCCUUCUCCCUUGUACCUUUUACUUCUUCUCUUCCUCUACCCAAAAAAAAAAAAAAGAUAAUUUAGAAUAUGCCACAAGCAGUACUGAAAUGACUACAUAACCCACUCCUCCACUGGGAACUAUGAAUUUUUAAUUCACAAAAACUGGAAAAAGACAGAACAUGAACACCCAUGAAGAAAGGGAGCACGAAAGAAUGGAAAACACACGACUCCUGAUGAAAACUGAAGUUGGCAGACUGUUUCCUUGGAAAACUUUCUGUCUGUACCCUAAGAAAUGUUUUUUCCAGCGGUGUGAAAUUCAGGUUACUCAGUGUCCAGCAAGCUGGGCAGGUACCAGGAAGAAUAUAAAGCUGAAGUUUUUUAUUUCUUAAUGAUUUUUUUUAAAUGAUUUUUCAUUAAAAUAUUUUUUUUCUUAAAAAAUGAAAUAAAAGGAGUGGCUACUCCAGGUGAGCUUGGUGUGCUAAAUGCCCAGUGGAUUUUACCCCCCCUCCAAAUCCCAGGUAUCGCUGCUAUAGGCAACAGGAAAGAGACCAGGAAGAUAAAACAAGCUGAGAGCACUUAUUUUUUAAUUUCUAGAGAAAGGCUAAAGCAGCCUUCAUUUCCAGUCAAACCCCAAACCAGCUGGGUGUGGGGUUUGGCUCUGUAUUCCCACCCCUUCCAGCCGCACUCCCCACUCCGGCUCUGCGGGGACAAGCCCUCGGGGUGCUGGGUGACGUGGGGAUCCCAAAAGCAGGACUCAGAU